AGGGGUAGCCACCACAGGCCCACAGGCUAAAAUUGAGCUGGAGUAAGUGGCAACAGAGAGUGUUUAUUGUUCCCUAAGAGCCCUGGUAAGCUUCUGAGAAAUUAAGUGCUCAUUUCCUAGCAGAUAAAAUCCACUGACUCACACCUGCCUCUCUGCUUGUCCAGAGAGGUACAGAGAAGUAAUGACUUGGACUUGAGGAAGAGGCCCUUGUAGGACAUGUGAAUGCCAGUGCUCAUGGAGAAAGGUGGAAGAAGAGAGCCAGAGCGCAGUUCACCUCUGGGAGAGCAGACCAGAGUGGCUUCCGUGGGCACAUGCUGGAUUGAAAGUGAGAAGACAUGACUACUAAAGUUGAGGCCCCAAGUCUCAGCUUCUUCCCCCUCCAAAGCAUGAGUGGAGGAUUCACUUAAGGCCACUUUGAAGCCCAUAUUGGAGGAGCAUUACUCACUCUGAGGAUCCUGGCAUAGGCAGAUGCAUCACUUAUAUUGAAGUAUAUUAUCUGCUGUGAUAUUUAUGAUGAAAUGAGUUUGCCAGCCAUCGUCUAUCAGCAGGGGAUCAAACAUAGGCACCUGCCUGUCCAAGGGGGUCUAAGUCACAGUAGAGAAGUGGUUUGCAAAGGCUGGUGGGAUGGUGUAGCAGGCCUGUGGAGUUGAAUAAAAAUCCUGAUGUCCUUCCUGGCAUGAAGAGUGGAGCUGCUGAGCUGCCAAGCUGCCCCCAGGAGAAGCGUGCUGCCUGUGCAUCUCACUGGACUUCUGUGUACAGAAGAAAUAUUGGUGGUUUGAC
rnacentral:lncRNA from 1 species